rnacentral:rRNA from 1 species
GUGAGGAAUCUUCCACAAUGGGCGAAAGCCUGAUGGAGCAACGCCGCGUGCAGGAUGAAGGCCUUCGGGUCGUAAACUGCUUUUAUAAGUGAAGAAUAUGACGGUAACUUAUGAAUAAGCACCGGCUAACUACGUGCCAGCAGCCGCGGUCAUACGUAGGGUGCAAGCAUUAUCCGGAGUGACUGGGCGUAAAGAGUUGCGUAGGUGGUUUGUUAAGUAGGUAGUGAAAUCUGGCGGCUCAACCGUACAGGCUAUUACCUAAACUGGCAAACUCGAGAAUGGUAGAGGUAACUGGAAUUUCUUGUGUAGGAGUGAAAUCCGUAGAUAUAAGAAGGAACACCAAUGGCGUAGGCAGGUUACUGGACCAUUUCUGACACUGAGGCACGAAAGCGUGGGGAGCGAACGGGAUUAGAAACCCUGGUAGUCC